CCUACGGGGGGCAGCAGUGGGGAAUAUUGGACAAUGGGCGAAAGCCUGAUCCAGCCAUGCCGCGUGUGUGAAGAAGGCCUUCGGGUUGUAAAGCACUUUCAGUGGGGAAGAAAGCCUUGGGGCUAAUACCCUCGAGGAAGGACAUCACCCACAGAAGAAGCACCGGCUAACUCCGUGCCAGCAGCCGCGGUAAUACGGAGGGUGCGAGCGUUAAUCGGAAUUACUGGGCGUAAAGCGCGCGUAGGCGGUCUGAUAAGCCGGUUGUGAAAGCCCCGGGCUCAACCUGGGAACGGCAUCCGGAACUGUCAGGCUAGAGUGCAGGAGAGGAAGGUAGAAUUCCCGGUGUAGCGGUGAAAUGCGUAGAGAUCGGGAGGAAUACCAGUGGCGAAGGCGGCCUUCUGGACUGACACUGACGCUGAGGUGCGAAAGCGUGGGUAGCAAACAGGAUUAGAUACCCGUUGUAGUC
rnacentral:rRNA from 1 species